UUGCAGCCAAUUAAACUGACUGUAUUCUUUUCCCCGUGGGGGCCUGGAGUGCAAUGGCUGCAAACAGCAGCCUCCUCGGUAAUGUAUGCAGCCUUUUGCCUGUACAGGUUGCCCUAACGGACCUUGGAGACAGCC
ensembl:snoRNA SNORA70 Small nucleolar RNA SNORA70